CGCAAAUCUGACCUUGCACGAGAUGGUGGCUUCAGCGAUGGUGGAGAAUCCCUAGCGUUGCUUGUGUUGGCGUUGGAGGUGUUGUGAAUGAAAACGAUGCCCCAACGCUUCAACACCAUACAGAAACGGCACAUGCGCUUCACCGAUGCACGAACCUUCAUCUUCUUCUCCACAAUGUAGGCAAACGAGGUGGCAGCAGUUGAGGGGCACAGGGAGGCGGCGGAUGCGGUGAGACGCUCGGCCACGCGCAUGAACGGGGUGGUGGCAGUUGAGGAGCGGAGGGUCAAUCCAUCCUUAUCCGAGGUGGGCGAUUGUGGAUCCGUCUCCUCCAUGACAAGUCGCACGAUGAAGCAGUCGGCCUAGCCGACAGUAAGGCUGCACGACGAAGCAGUCGGCUUGGCCGGCAGCGAGCGACGACCGGGUGUCGCCUCCUUCUACACCACCGGUUGGCUGGUGGGGUGUGAAGAGUGAGUGGAAGAGGGAACAGGCGAGCGGGAGGAAGAAGAUUGCAGUGGGAUCUGGAAGGACAAUGGGCAUGCAGAGACUGAGAGCAU
rnacentral:lncRNA from 7 species